rnacentral:misc_RNA from 1 species
GAUGAAGAACGUAGUGAAAUGCGAUACUUGGUGUGAAUUGCAGAAUCCCGUGAACCAUCGAGUCUUUGAACGCAAGUUGCGCCCGAAGCCAUUAGGCCGAGGGCACGCCUGCCUGGGCGUCACACGUCGUUGCCCCCCCAUCUACUCCUUCGGGAUUGCGGGGGGCGGAUGAUGGCCUCCCGUGCGCCUCGCCGCGCGGUUGGCAUAAAUGCCAAGUCCUCGGCGACGCACGCCACGACAAUCGGUGGUUGCGAAACCUCGGUUGCCCGUCGUGUGCGGUCGUCGCGCAUCGAGGGCUCGAAAAAAUUGCCGGGUUCCGGCUCGGCUUUCAACGCGACCCCAGGUCAGGCAGGGUUACCCGCUGAAUUUAAGCAUAUCAUAAGCGGAGGA